rnacentral:rRNA from 1 species
AGCAGCCGCGGUAAUUCCAGCUCCAAUAGCGUAUAUUAAAGUUGUUGCAGUUAAAAAGCUCGUAGUUGAAUUUCGGGAUCAAUUUGCUGGUCGUGCCUCUGGUACGUACUGGUAUUAUUGGUUUCUCCCUUCUGACGAACCAUGAUGUCAUUAAUUUGAUGUCGUGGAGAAUCAGGACUGUUACUUUGAAAAAUUAGAGUGUUUAAAGCAGGCAUUAGCUUGAAUACAUUAGCAUGGAAUAAUGAAAUAGGACGUUUGAUCCUAUUUUGUUGGUUUCUAGGAUUGACGUAAUGAUUAAUAGGGAUAGUUGGGGGCAUUAGUAUUCAAUUGUCAGAGGUGAAAUUCUUGGAUUUAUUGAAGACUAACUACUGCGAAAGCAUUUGCCAAGGAUGUUUUCAUUAAUCAAGAACGAAAGUUAGGGGAUCGAAGACGAUCAGAUACCGUCGUAGUCUUAACCAUAAACUAUGCCGACUAGGG